GAAAUGCGAUACGUAGUGUGAAUUGCAGAAUUCCGUGAACCAUCGAAUCUUUGAACGCAUAUUGCGCUCGAGCCCUCGGGCAAGAGCAUGUCUGCCUCAGCGUCGGUUUACCCCCUCACCCCUCCCACUUUUGUUGGGUGUGUUGGCUUCUAUGCCAGCCAUAGGGGUGGAUCUGGCUUCCCCAAUUCGCUGUAGUGGAUUGGGUUGGCUGAAGUAUAGAGGCUUAAGCAAGGACCCGAUAUGGGGUUCAACUGGAUAGGUAGCACCGGCUUUGGCCGACUACACGAAGUUGUUGCUUGUGGAUCUUGCUAGAGGACAAGCAGGAACGUGCCUUUGGCAUGUCUAAACUUUCGACCUGAGCUCAGGCAAGGCUACCCGCUGAACUUAAGC
rnacentral:misc_RNA from 1 species